rnacentral:rRNA from 1 species
CCUACGGGCGGCAGCAGUGAGGAAUAUUGGUCAAUGGGCGCGAGCCUGAACCAGCCAAGCCGCGUGAGGGAAGACGGUCCUAUGGUUUGUAAACCUCUUUUGUCGGGGAGCAAAAGACGCCACGCGUGGCGUUCCGAGAGUACCCGAAGAAAAAGCAUCGGCUAACUCCGUGCCAGCAGCCGCGGUAAUACGGAGGAUGCGAGGGUUAUACGGAUUUAUUGGGUUUAAAGGGUGCGCAGGGGGAAGAUCAAGUCAGCGGGAAAAUUGAGAGGCUCAACCUCUUCGAGCCGUUGAGAAUGGUUUUCUUGAGUGAGUGAGAGGUAUGCGGAAUGCGUGGUGUAGCGGUGAAAUGCAUAGAUAUCACGCAGAACUCCGAUUGCGAAGGCAGCAUACCGGCGCUCAACUGACGCUCAUGCACGAAAGUGUGGGUAGCGAACAGGAUUAGAUACCCGAGUAGUC